UUCCUUAGCAUGAACAAAGGAGGAGACCAAUCUCCUCUUGGGUGAGAGAUCUAAAACUGUUCUAAGAUUUUUGGGUGAGAGAAAAAUCAAAGAGAAGAGAGUCUUCAUCAGAUUUUUCUUCACCAUCUAGCAUCCUCUUCUGAUCCAUCUUCGACAUUGAAAAGAUUCGAGAUGAUCGAAGAAAGAGAUCAAAUUAGAUCUACCAUCAGAAGUCGACUAUGCGAGCUAGCACUCCCGUGGAGGCUGAUCGGUCUGAGGGCUUUGUGUGGACAAUCUGUAG
rnacentral:lncRNA from 1 species